GGGUCCGUGGCCCAGUCAGGAAAGGGUGCUGAUUAUCAAGCAUAGGCCUCCGAAGCCAGAGUUCAUGGGAUCGAAGCCCAUCGGACCCG
rnacentral:tRNA from 1 species